CCUCACGUCGAUAUCUUUGCUAAGUUCUGCUGUGAAAUACUCAAAAAUUUGCUGAGACUACCACAAUAUGUCGACGCUGUUUUACUUCCUGUUUGUGGUGGGUUUGGCUGGCCUGCUGCCCCGCCCCACUGUUGGACACGGCUUUCGGAUGAAUGGCCUCGCCACUGCGCCCAGGCACCCCCAACUCAGUGCAGAGGUAACCUAGGACAGGCCAGAGACAAGAAAUGCGCUGACGAAUGCAUCAAUUCGGAAUGUCCCGGAGAAGUAGCUGGAUUAAAAUGCACCUGUUCAUCUGGCUCCUGCAGUGCAUGGAGUGAUCUUGACAGCUGGUGCUCGUCAAACUGCGCAUUUGACAACUGUCCAGAACAAUAUUGUACUUGCGAGAUUGAUGAAAGGACCUGUUCUGGACAACGACCAACUUACGACGUUUGGUGUUUGAACCAAUGUGAACGAAGUAGCUGCAACCCUGGUCUCUGCAAGUGCCCAAACUAGAUGUUCAUUUAAGCGAUAAGUUGGCUGACCACUUGAACCCAUUACUUGUUGAAUGCCCUUGUUGAAAACCUUGUUUUGCAUCGUAUUAAAAUGUUGCAACUUUGCAUCCAAAUUGUA